rnacentral:snRNA from 1 species
GGAUGUGAGGGCGAUCUGGCUGCGACAUCUGUCACCCCAUUGAUCGCCAGGCUUGAUUCGGCUGAUCUCGUUGGAUAGGCGGGUGUCCCCUUCUUCCCCCACCAUGUGCGUCCCUCCCAAAGCUGCGUGCUCCUUUCAAGAUGAUGACCUUCCCCAUAGAGGAGGACCGUUCUUCGGUCAAGGGUAUAAGAGUAGCUGUGAUCCCCUGCUAGAACCUCCAAACAAGCUCUCAAGAGGUACAUUUUUCUUUUCUUUUUAAUAUUUACUUAUUAUUGGCUGUUGGGUCUUCGUUGCUGCACG